AUAUAAUAACAAUACUCCGUAAUGCAGUUUUAGGGAUCUUUUAGACUCUUUGAUCAAAUCUUUUCAAAAUUUCAGAUGCAGGGAUAAACAAAGGAAGGAGGCUUCACGGCUUCAAGCUGUGAACAGGAAGUUGACGGCAAUGAACAAGCUCUUGAUGGAGGAGAAUGAUAGGUUGCACUCUUGCAGAAGCAAGUGUCACACCUGGUUCAUGAAAACAGCUACUUCUGUCAACACAUUCCCAAUGUAAAAAUCCUUAUCUUGAAGAUUAGUAGUUUGUUUUACUUUAAAAAGAGUUCCAUAUUGAUUUUGUUUUAUCUUUUGGUUCAAGGCUUUACUUCCAGCUAAAGACACAAGCUGUGAAUCGGUGGUGACGAGUGGUCUAGAGCCUACAAGGGUAUGUGUAGAUAGAACCAUUCCUAUGCAAUGCUCUACUACUACUACUACUACCUUACAUAUGUAGCAAGACUGAUCUGCUUCUCUUUUUUUUCUGUUCCAGGUCGCAUAGAUCGUCAAGAAUCGCCUUCGUGGUUCUGCGAAUGCCGAGCUGUUGAUGUUAUGAAUGUGUUGUAUUCUUACGAGGCUUUAGAGAAGUGAGAUCAAUGCAAUGCAUACAACUACAGAUGUCAGCUUUUGAAUCUGUUGAUAUGUUUUAAUAUAACUGCAAUGUGAUCUUAUUGUUUUGAUUCUUUCAUGUGGAUUAAUGUUUCUUACUUUCUAUGAAACUUUGGGAUAUGAUGACAAAAUACGAAAUCUCUAAGGCUAAUGCUCUGCAAUAAGAAAUUUUUGGACAGUUUUAAUUUGUAUCAGAUAACAAUAAGUUAAAGAAAACUAAAGUAUGCUAGAAACACCAAAACUAAGAACGAAAACAAAACAUAAUUAAUAAUUUAUGUUCUUAACUUGAAAGAGGAUAUAAAGGAAUAACUCAGCGUACCUUAUUUUAACGGAGAUUCUAAUAAUUUAUGUUCUUCUAUUCUAUGUAUGUGAUGAAGAAGAAACCUACGGCUUUAACCGUUAACGUAGGUAAGAGCAUCGGCAUUGAACCCCAUGGAAGGGAUUCACAAAGUAUUUUUUUAUUAUUAUUUUUUUCUGUUUGAUUUUUGUUUUAAAAAAAAAAAAAAUUAUUAAUCGGACCAAUCGCGGAUCGCCACGUGUCGUGGAGACCGCGCUACAGUGAUGAUCCGGGUUCAGUGCAGUGAACUCCCAAGAGAGAGGUUCAUUGCUUUUGUUUAUUUUAAUACUUUUUUUUUCGAAAACUGUGUGAACUUUCACUGAUGCUGAUGCUCUAGGAGCAUCUCUAAAAUAAACUCUAUAACUCCAAAUAUAGAGUUUUUUGCUCUCCAAAAAGAAACUUCAAAACUUUAAAUUUGAAGUUUUGAAGAGUGAAACUUCAAAUAUAGAGUUUCACUACUCAAAACUCUAAAUUUGAAGAUUCAUCUUUUUAUUUACAUCUUGGUCUUUAUAAUUAUAAUUACACAUCACAAUUAUGACUCGUAAGUAUUUUCUCAUUUAUCGUUUUAACCUUUACAGCUUUUGUAUAUCUUAAAUAUUUCAAAUUUAUUUUUAUAAAUUUAAAUUUUACAUAUAAAAUUAAAUAUUUUUUUAAAAUAAGAUCUAUAAUACUUUAAAACUAGAAUUAGCAACAAGAAUACUACAAAAAAACUUCAUAAAUUUUUUUCUAAAAAAUAUAUAUAAAGACAUAAUUAUUACAUACAUUUAAAUAUUACAACAACACUAAUAAUCUAGAAAAUUGCUCUGGAACUUCUAAAAUCUUGUCCAAACAAAUUUUGUGUAACCGAAGAUGGAUCAUUACGAAAUAAUUUUAUGUAUUUCUGUUUAUAAUUUUAUAUUUUAGUGUAAGAUUUUAUUAAUUAAUAUUACUAUAAUAUUACAUAUAUGUUAUAAAAGUUUUAUGGAUUUAUAUUAGUUAUGACAAAUAUAAGAACCGUAGUGUAAAUUACAAAUAAUUUUAAAGUUAAAUUUGAAGUUUUUUUUUGGAGAAGAGCAACACUGAAACUUCAAAUAUAGAGUUUUGCAAACUUUAAAAUAGAGUCUUUUUAGAGAUGAUCUAAGAGAUAAGCAGAAUUAGUGAUCCAAGGAUUCGGUAUAACAUCUCACGUUCAUUUGCGAUUUUCCGGAGGACUAGGCACAUAUUAGCCGUGGAAAGUAGGGGUGAUCACGGACCGAAUAUCCGGAUUUUUGGAGGUAUUCGUGAUCCAAUCCGUUUGGUAAUUAAUUAUCCGAUUCAAUUUGAUUUGUAAGUACUCGGAUAUUUGGUGUUCCAGAUAUCCGCAAAAUCUUAGAUUUUUAACCGGAUAUCUGAUUCGAUCCGUACAAAUAAAAAAACUAAAUUAAAUAAAAGUUAAUAUAUUAUAAAAUAAUAAUAUUUUGUUGCAAAAUAAAAAAUUAUUUACCUUUUUAAUUCUUAUAAUUAAUAUAAAAAAUUUAACAGAUAAAAAUAUUGUAAAAGGUAUAUAAAAUAAAAUAUUUAUAUAAGUUAUACAUUAUAUUCUUUUAAAAUAGAUGUAUAUAAAGUAUUAGUAUUUGUUUUGUUUCGUAGAGUUACAUAUAUCCGGAUUUUAAGGAUCGAAUCAAAACGAAUAACAAAUUGAAUCAAAAUUUACAGAUGUUUUGUCCAGCCCUUGUGGGAGCAUGGUUUCAAAAGUGACUUCAUUUCCGCCAGUUCAGACUCAAAUCCACGCUUUACGUUAGCAGACCUAUGGGAACAACAAAAUGCAAUACUAAAGUCCAUCGAAUAACCUUCCUGCCUUAUCUUACAACAAAGAAGAAGAAAAAGAACUUGAAACUACUACCUUCCUCAAUUUUAUUGUGUUAAUUAGACCUGAGAAUUUUAUCCGAAUCAUAACCAACAUUAAUGCCCAUGCAUAACUAACAUAAUAAAAUUGAGGAUCCAUGUUCUACUUGAGGCCCCACCUGGUACCUGAAUGAAUAAAAAUUAUAAGUUAUGUAUAUAUUCCAAUCUGGGAAUUCUGGGUAUUUGGCAUUUCAUAUAUUUUUAAGUUUUGGGUUUUUGGCUAAAAUUUCAUAUCUUUAUAUAUAUAUUUAGCUUUUUUAAUCGGGUACUUAGGUUUUUCAGGUUUUUGGAUGUUUCGAAUACUAGAUACUCAAACCAAAUCAUAAACAAUUUAUUUGGGUAUUUUAUGGCUCGAAAAAUUUAGACUCAAACCGUCCCAUUCUAAUGGAACCCGAAACAGAUGUUUUGUCCAGCCCUUGUGGGAGCAUGGUUUCAAAAGUGACUGCAUUUCCGCCAGUUCAGACUCAAAUCAACGCUUUACGUUAGCAGACCUAUGGGAACAACAAAAUGCAAUACUAGAGUCCAUCGAAUAACCUUCCUGCCUGAUCUUACAACAAAGAAGAAAAAAAAGAACUUGAAACUACUACCUUCCUCAAUUUUAUUGUGUUAAUUAGACCUGAGAAUUUUAUCCGAAUCAGAACCAACAUUAAUGCCCAUGCAUAACUAACAUAAUAAAAUUGAGGAUCCAUAUUCUACUUGAGGCCCCACCUGGUACCUGAAUGAAUAAAAAUUAUAAGUUAUGUAUAUAUUCCAAUCUGGGAAUUCUGGGUAUUUGGCAUUUCAUAUAUUUUUAAGUUUUGGGUUUUUGGCUAAAAUUUCAUAUCUUUAUAUAUAUUUUUAGCUUUUUUAAUCGGGUACUUAGGUUUUUCAGGUUUUUGGAUGUUUCGAAUACUAGAUACUCAAACCAAAUCAUAAACAAUUUAUUUGGGUAUUUUAUGGCUCGAAAAAUUUAGACUCAAACCGUCUCAUUCUAAUGGAACCCGAAACAGAAAAAAAUAUUAUAUUUACCUUCUUUUAUGAAUCCAAAUAUUUGAAUACCGAAAAACAUGGAUUCAAUGAGAACAAAUCAAACUCGAUUCAGGGAUCCGAAUACCAAACCUAGUGCUAAUCUUGCUAUUUAUUUUUUCAUUAAACGUAAAUCUAUUUUUAAAUAUUUUCAUUUAACUAAAAAGGUAGAAUUGAUUUUUUUUUCAUUUAAACUAGUUAAUUGAGGAGAAAAAUUAAGGAACUGUUCAUUUUGAACAGUCAAAUAACAUUGAUUAUUCUAAAUUUUAAAUUAAAUUAAUAAAAUGUAUCAUAUAAACUUUUAAAUAAAAGUAAAAAUGAUAAGUUUAACAAAUUCAAAAACAAAUUGUGUGUGGUGUGAAAAAUGCUUGGAUUUUUUAAAAUAAACUAUAAAUUUAUAAAUUUUGUACUUUGGUAACAAAAUUUAUUUUUUUGUAACAAAAUUUAUUUUGAAAAUAUUAUUAUGUAACAAUACUGAUUUACAUAAUUUUUUUUAUUUAUAAAUUUGAAAUGUAUGUGGAAAUUAAAUUAAGUUAAACCUACAUAAUAGAGAAUUUGUAUAUAAUGAUUAAUUAAAUCAAUUUAGUAUAUAUGUUUAAAUAAUAAACCAAAUUGGUUUUUAACUCAAGAGAAUACAAAGACGUUAAUUACAGUAGAUUAAACUCUUAUAUAUACGGUAUGAAUAAAUAUCAAAUGUUUCAUAUAUGAAGGGAGAUGUAAAUUAAUUGGAUAACAUGGUAAAAGCAUUUAAAGGUAUGACUUUUAACUGGUUUAAAUUAAAAAAAAAAUCACAUAUGAAAUAAGUCAUAAUUUAUGUGUUAAAUAGAUAGGAUAUAAUUUUAAAUUAGAAAUAGAAAUGAAUAUUUCUUUUUAAAAUAAAUGAGAUCAUGAAGGAGAAGAAAACUUAACUAUGUAUGGUAGAGACAUCUUUGUCUAAUGAUUAUCAUUAACUUGACCAACUACCCCUUGAAAAGCUAUUUUUUUAAUUAAUUAACACAUUUGCUUCAUUAGCAUCAAUAAUUAAUCACCAGAACUAUUAUUUAUGUUGACAAAACAUUACCUUAUUUAACAAAAAAAAUAUAUGGUUAAAUCAAACAUAGUGGACCCAAACUAAAAGGGUCAUUUCAUUGCUCCUCCUUAAAGGUAAGCCCUUAAUGAUUUCAUUGAUAGAAGUAAACCUAUGCUUAAGUUGGAUUAUCAAGUUCUGUCAUUUAUGUUGACAAAACAUUACCCUAUACAGUAUGUCUUUAAAAAGUUAUGUAUGUGAAGUUCAGAAUCGUUAAGGUCCAAUAAAUGCUCCUUUUCUUCACAAAACUAGGAAGGUUCCUAGUUAGUAUUUAUUACGUUCCGAUCGAGGAAUGAUGUUUCCUUAAAUGCAUUAAUGUUUAAAAUUAAAUACAUGUAUGAGUUUUAAACGUUGCUAAUCUUAAGUUUGUUUCGCUUUUUUUAUAUAGUUAAAUCUACUAAAUUGAGUAGAAUAAAAAAAUUUGCGGAGGAAAAGAUUGCGAUAUAUAGAAGCAAAAGUGAUAUUUCUAUGUGAUCAUAUUCACAUCGAUGUUUGGUACCUGAUUUGCUCCAAUCCAACGGCCCCACUUUUCCAUCAAUUUCAUCUACGUACAUAGGGUCUCGCCAUACUUGUGUGUAGCGCUAUCAUAAUAUUUUUUUUGGAACUUUAGGGCUAUCAUUUGGAACAUCGAAUUAUCUUUGAUUCAAUCAGAAAAUUUAACGUUUAAACAGCGGAAUAAGUUGUAUGAAAUGAGGGGAACGGACGGAUGAAAUUAAGAAAUAACAAUAAUCAUGGAACAGGAGUUUAAUAAUAUAUGUAGGGUGUUUUAAACUGUUAAUUUGUCGUUAUGAAUGUAAGUUAAUGUUCAGACGGAAUCAUCAAAGCAAAUAAACAUAUAUAUAACCGACAUCGAGUUGGUCCAGUGGUAAAUGGAUUGCGGCUGUAUAACUUCCGCCACUUGGUUCGAUUCGCGCUAGAAGUAACUAUUUACAAUGUUUGGGUUCCCGACAAAAAGAUGAAACUACCCUUUUUUUGCACCAAAAUAUAAACAAAACAUAUAUAACAAAAAUAAAAUGAACAAUGAUCUAAAGAUGUAUGGUGAUCGGCGAGUGUUUUACACAUUCUAUAAUAAAUUAGUAUUAAGUAUGAAUCUCAAAUAUUUGUAUAAUGAAAUCAUAUCUAUACGAAUUUAUAUGUAAAUCUUCGUCUACACUUCUUUUUUUUAUAUACAUUACCUUCGUUUACACUUCUUUCGUUAGGAUCCUAUUUGACAAUAGAAUGCCUAAUCAAUGACAAACUGAUGAUUUCCUUCAUGAUAAAAUAUUUGGGCAUGUUAGAACUUAGAAGUACGAUGAAUGGAAUGGAAUUUAGCUUAGUUAUAAAGGUGACCUACGCAAAAUAUAAUGCAAUACGUUUUAGAUACACUUGAUUUUUGAAUGCAAUACAAAAAAGUAUACGCUCAUUAAUAUUUAUUAGAUUUUUACUUGGAUGGACGAACCUGAUAUGACAUAUAUGAAUGAAAUAAAUUUAUUAUUAUAGUAUUGCAUGACUUUUUUUUUUGUCCACGGUUUCAUUUCAUAAUCUCAAAUCAGAGUACUUGAUGAACAAAGUUUAGGGACACCACCCAUUGCAAAAGCAACAACAACUAAACAGAAGGUUAUGCAUAGAUUAUAACAACAUGAUAACGGAGUGACGAGAGGGACAAGGUUGCAAACGAUAAAGGAGCCUGUAAUGUCAAUCAAAACCAACCCCGAGCGCAAGAAAAAGAAAAGAAAAAUCGAGUCCGCUAGAAUCUAAAGACUUGAGAAUCCAGAUGAAAACUUUGAUGAGGAGCUUUCUGUAGCGUUAUAGCUUUGGUGCUUUGAGUAGAACUCACGAUCCACGUUCCAUUAGCCACCAAGUCGGGAAGUUCUCAACAUACCCGACUGGAGAGGACACAUCAGCAAACUCAGAGGCAAGCAAACACCUCUUCCAAAAGAUUGAUUGCUGUGAGGUGAACCGCCAUGCCAAAUAGUCAAACCUGAAACAAUAACAUCCAUAGCCAGAAAGACAGAAGUCCAGAUAACAUCCUCAUUUUGAGGUAAAGGGAGCUUAAACCUGAAGAUCAAAGAGCUUAUAAAUCCUCAAUACGAGGUAAAGAACCAUUCAAAAACAGCAUAAUCUCUUGUUUGCAAGGAAACAAAGAUCUCCUACUAAGACAAUUAAAUUCUUCUCGGAGGCAAUGAUCAAACAAGAAUGACUCACUCCAGUAGGAUAUAAACACCAUACCUUGCGAAAGCAUGAAGCAAGGGAAGAUGGAUCCAACAACAUGUGACCAAGGUUUCAAAUGAAGGAUAUGCUUUGACUGAGAAUUGCAAAUAGCAGUAGAGAGCUGCACUCCAAAAGGUUGCACUGAG